rnacentral:rRNA from 1 species
GACGUAGGGCGCGAGCGUUGUCCGGAUUUAUUGGGCGUAAAGAGCUCGUAGGCGGCUUGUCGCGUCGUCCGUGAAAACCUGUGGCUCAACUGCAGGCUUGCGGUCGAUACGGGCAGGCUGGAGUUCGGUAGGGGAGAUCGGAAUUCCUGGUGUAGCGGUGAAAUGCGCAGAUAUCAGGAGGAACACCGGUGGCGAAGGCGGAUCUCUGGGCCGAUACUGACGCUGAGGAGCGAAAGCGUGGGGAGCGAACAGG